rnacentral:lncRNA from 1 species
GGGUGGACUAUUGAAUUAAUACAUAAAUAAAAGCCCAUACAUGGGCUUUGGUCUGCAAGAGAUAGCUACCCAGAGAGAUCUGCUUGGAGAGCGAACACAGCUCUUUUAGAAUUUUUUUUCUAGCAAGAACAGAGCUAUCUGGAGAGCUGUCUCAAGCAAAACAUGAGGCUGUCAGCUUGCACCCCCACCUCACUGAACUCAGGUCCUCUUGCUUAACCUCUGAACCACCUCUCCAGGUUUCACCGAAGUUGCCCAGGUAAAUUUGUACUUGGUAAUCCUCCUGCCUCAGGAUCCAGAGGAGCCAGGAUUACAGGCCUGUACCACCAAGAUUAUCUUAAUUUGGUCACAUUCGAUGCUACCUAAAAUUAGGGAGAGCCCAUGGUUAAGGCCAAAUACGGAUCCCUUUACCCCUUCUUCACCAUGGUCGUCAUUUUCUUGUCCCUGCGGAGACUUCCUGUGGUUGCUUUCCUUUCUCCUUCCCGCCCCAGCUGUCUCCUUUUGGAUGGCAACAUCCAGUUUAUCUUGAUUUUGUUGAAUGGAUCCUGGUGGCCCAGGGGACCAGUGUUAGGUGGGUGAUCAGUAAAAGCCACAUCUCCCUGCCUUUACUCUCUCUCCCCAGAAAAGCAUUGAGGGCUAAAUGGCUUCCUGAUAUGUGAUCCCUGGUGGGAUCCAGCAUGAGGUCACUUACAAAGGACAGAGGGACAUCCUCAGGAGAGGGCAUUGCUGACUUUGCUCAUGUUUGGGUUCCUUCCUGUGUGGGGUGUCCCCAAGGUCACCUUCUUGGGCCCACGCAUGUCCCAGGCUUAACCCACGGCUGCUUAUGUUUCAUGCCGUGGGCCUGGCCCAGCAUCUUUCAGCACAAGCCAAUAACCACUGUCACAGCAGUCAUGACAUGGGUGCCCUAACAAAUGGAGUGGCUGUGAGUCUCCAGCUGCCUGGCCUCCACCCAGUGUUAUUGAUUAAGAUGUAUAGUGGGUCAUCCAAUAGACCAGACCAAGAGCCAUACAACUGAAUAGAAACCAAGCAAGCAGAGAGCCCCACACAGACUGGAUUGCCUCACUGCCAGCAUGUCAGAGCAGCUCUCCAGAGAGGAUGCCUCUGAGCUGUCGUGAUAAACAGUCCCUUACUUUACCCUGGCCUGAUUUAAGCAGUUGCCUUGCUGUUGUUCUGUUUCCUGUUCCUGCCCGAGCUGUGUUACAAAGCCUCACUAGUAAGUGGAACAUCCUCUAUUGGAGCACAUUGCUGCCUGCUUGAUGCAGCAUUAUUAAAGCCAAUUAGGUCUGUGUGCUGGUUGGUAUAUGCUUGGUCCCAGGAAAGGCACUAUUAGGAGGUAUGGUCUUGUUGGAGUAGGUGUAGCCUUGUUGGAGGAAAUAUGUCAUUAGGGGGGACCCUCCUCCUAGCUGCCUGGAAGCCAAUUUCUCCUGUCUGCCUUCAGAACAAGAUAUAGAACUCUCAGCAUCUCCAGUGCCAUGUCUGCCCAUGCUUCCUGCCAUGAUGAUAAACAACUGAACCUCAGAACCAAUAAGCCAGCCCCAAUUAAGUGUUGUCCUUUAUAAGAGUUGCCUUGGUCAUGGUGUCUGUUUACGGCAAUACAAUCCUUAACUAAGACAGUCUGUCAAGUACAUUUGUUGAAAUUUCGUUUUUUAGCCAGUGCCCUGAUUGGUGAACUGACCCAAGUGAGAAAGGUAAGGACAUAGGUGACAUCGUCAGAUGACGCAUUACAAUUGUAUCUGAUCCAGUGCUUCCUAAACCUGUGUUGCUGUCUGAAAAAUGCACAUUCAUGUACCCGUGCGUCUGGGGCAGUGGUUCUCACCCUUCCUAACCCUGCAGCUCUCUAUUCCAGCUCCUCAGGUUGUGGGGACUCCCAAGCAUAAAGUUACUUUGUUGUUACUUCAUAGCUGUAACUUUGCUACUGUUAUAAGUGGUGAUGCAAACAUCUGUUAUGCAGGAUAUCUGAUAUGUGACCUCUGUGGAAGGGCCAUUCAACCCAAAGGAGUCAUGAUCCUCAGGUUGAGAACCGCUGUCCUAGUGUGACUAGACAGCCAGUCCCGACAGGUGUGUACUAUGGGCAAACAGGACAAAAUGAGAACUGUCAUGGGUUUUUAAGUCACCACAAUUGUGUUUUGUUAUUGUUGUCUCUUUUUGACA